ACUAAUCCCAACUAAUAUUAUAAAUGCGAAAGUAACUCUGUCUGUCUGUCUGUUACGCUUUCCCGCUUAAACCUCGCAACCGAUUUUGAUGAAAUUUGGCAUAGAGAUAGUUUGAGUCCCGAGAAAGAACAUAGGAUAGUUUUUAUCCUGGUUUUUGAAACAGGGACGCGCGCGAUAAAGUUUUUCUGUGACAGACAAAAUUCCACGCGGGCGAAGCCGCGGGCGGAAAGCUAGUAUACAAUAAAUGCGUUCCACUUCUGGCCACAGACUAGGGAACCGUAGUCGCGCUGUGCAAUAUGUGCCAACGUGUACAUACGUCGGGCCGAGCUUUAAUAGUUAGAACAAGCGUGCGGGCGUGUCACAAAUGUUUACGUUAUUUAUUAUCGAAUCGUGUUCAGUAGCUUUUAAUCAGAAUGACGUGUAGUAUUACACUAUUUUAUACAAUUAAUUAGCAAUUAAAACAUUACAUUAAAUAUUACAGAACUUAACAAAUUGUACAAUAGCAACGCGACUACCACUAGUGUAUGGAAACUAACGCCACCUGCAAUUUGAAUGCAGUGCUGUCAUUGGUUUACAUUGCAGUCGCGUUGCUUUUCUACAAUUACCUAGUUACCGGUUGCUAAAAUCUGUAAUAAGCAUGCGCUGUUAAUAAUAUUUAUACAUCAAUUGGAUAAUAAACAAAUCACGUGUUUUAAUUUUUAAACUAUCCAGCAAUAGUCUGAUACUACACGCCACAAUAUUGUACAUAUAGGCACAUAAGAAUAAUUUACAGUGUAUAUAAUAUUGUACGUAUUUAUUUAACUGCUUUUAGACGAAAUAAAACUCUAAUGUGGCAAUAAAAAACAUUUUUAUUCUCUUCACAUCUUACAGUCUCUGACGCCGCCUGUGGGCCGGCAACUGAUGCGCGAACUAAUUGAAAUUGGUACGUAUUGUUAAGGUGAUAAAACUCAAAAUACCCACAGGCCGGCGUCGCCCUAUAGCUACCCAAAUCGACUUCAACCGGGACCUUUUGCUUGCGAGCGAACGACCUAUGUCUUUGACAGCCGUAGUUUUGAAGUUAUAUUUUUGUCAUCUUAAAACUAUUUUGGCUGUUUUACCCAACUGCCCGAUAAGACAGUUUAUUGCGUACCUCGUACGUAGGGCACAUUUAUCCGUUGGUGCAUACAGCCUGUGAUGUAUUCAAAGGGUUUACUAACGUAUGUUCAAAAAAGUUUUUUUCUCCUUGCUCUUUUUCUUCCUUCUUCUUUUACUUCUUGAGUAAGGAAAGACAAAAACUUUUUUGAGCAAACGGCAUUGCACCUAAUCAAAGGCUUAUAAGUGUUGCCAACUUAGGUAAUAGUAUCUACCAAAGAUGGCAACACAAUUUACAUUCUAUUUUACGGUACUUAAACUAAGAAAACUGAAAUUAAAUCUAAUAGGAAAUGUAAAUGACAUAGGUCGUUAACAUACUGGGCAAUCCAUUGCCUUUUUUACAUUACGAAUAAGGACUGAAAUGAUUGCAUUAAUGUUGCCUGGCUCAAUCUCCUUGCGACAUAUUACGCCGGUGGCACACCUCCGCUAAACGAUGUUAGAAAAUCCUCUCCACACAUCUCUACGAUUCGAUGUGAUUCGACUGAGUCGUCCAGUGUGCUACCGGCUUUAUAGUAACAUUUGAAAGUUGGUAUAUUUGCAAUGAAAUGUCCAGCACACAAUUUUUACUCUUAUAGAAUUAUUUAGAAUACUAUCUAUGUAUAGUAAAAGACACUGCAUAUCUUUACGUACUAACUAUGUCUACCAGGCAUCUUUUACGGAAUAUUUUAUUGGACAGAAAUACAUACAUUUAAUCGUAAUGUCAUGCCGUUACGCGUUAUACCGCAGUAUAACUCGAAUGAUGAACCAACCGGAAAUUCUUUGGAAACAAUAAAUCACGAUAAAAUACACAUUAACAUAAAAUCAGAUAUAAAAUUAUACAGAUACAAUACAAAAUUAUAUGACUUUUAAAAAAGACCUCUACCAUUGUUUUGUAAGUCUAUUAUAAUCACAUUUCUAUAGUAUUUUAUAUUUGUUUACUCAAUAAUAGUCACUUUGCUAAACAAUAAUGGAUUUGUUAAACAUUUAUCUACGUGCUCUAGGAUGUUCAGAUGAGAUUUUAUAUCGCGAUGAAACUAUCCUACUAUUAUGGCCAAGAUACAUAAACGAUAGCUAAAUAACACAACAGCUAAAUGUUUUUUUAUUAUAUUUUUUUAGAAAUGCCACUUUACGCGAUGCUCGUACUAGAGUCGAGUGGUUAAUACUUUAAAGGCUACAAAUAUUUAGUAUAUCUUUAAUUCGAUCAUUUUCUCACAUAGUUAACAAUUGUUUAAUAUACUAAUUAGCUCUGCAUUGUUCUAGAUUUGGAAAUGAAUGUAACUUUUGAGCAAAUGUAAUUUUCUAAAUUGCGUUGGAACGAAUCGCUUCACUUUCGCGUGAAUUGGAAUUACCAAUAUAAAAUAAUAUAUUUGUACAUUUUGUGAACACGUCAAUGAAUUUUCAAUGGAUACAACGGCUA